GUCCACGCCGUAAACGAUGUCGAUUUGGAGGCUGUGUCCUUGAGACGUGGCUUCCGGAGCUAACGCGUUAAAUCGACCGCCUGGGGAGUACGGCCGCAAGGUUAAAACUCAAAUGAAUUGACGGGGCCGCACAAGCGGUGGAGCAUGUGGUUUAAUUCGAUGCAACGCGAAGAACCUUACCUGGCCUUGACAUGUCUGGAAUCCCUAAGAGAUUGGGGAGUGCCUUCGGGAAUCAGAACACAGGUGCUGCAUGGCUGUCGU
rnacentral:rRNA from 1 species